rnacentral:rRNA from 1 species
GAUGAACGCUGGCGGCGUGCCUAAUACAUGCAAGUCGAGCGAACAGAUGAGGAGCUUGCUCCUCUUACGUUAGCGGCGGACGGGUGAGUAACACGUGGAUAACCUACCUAUAAGACUGGGAUAACUUCGGGAAACCGGAGCUAAUACCGGAUAAUAUAUUGAACCACAUGGUUCAAUAGUGAAAGACGGUUUUGCUGUCACUUAUAGAUGGAUCCGCGUCGCAUUAGCUAGUUGUUAAGGUAACGGCUUACCAAGGCAACGAUGCGUAGCCGACUUGAGGGGUUGAUCGCCACAUCUGGACCUGGGAACGGGUCAAGACUCCUCCGGGGGGAAGAAGAAGGGAAUCUUCCGCAAUGGGCGAAAGCCUGACGGAGAAACGCCGGGUGAGGGAUGAAGGUCUCCGGAUCGUAAAACCCUGUUAUAGGGGAAGACCAAAUGUGUAAGUAAAUAUGCACGUAUUGACGGUACCUAAUCAGAAAGCCACGGCUAACUACGUG